UGGGCAUAAUAUCUAUUUACGAACCCACACUGACUACAAAAUAAGGCUAUUGCUUUCUGAACCUCCACAAUUAAUAACUACACCAUCCAAUACUAGGAAAAGACUCCAACACAUCUUUCACACUCGAUGGAAAUAAAUACAUAAAAAAAGAAAUAAUCAAUACACAUAAAAAAAAAAUCAUAUAGCCUCAAACAUAAAAAUAUUUGUAAAUGUGAAAGAUAGAGACUCAUCCUUUAAUUUCAAUAAAAAAAUAAAAAUAAAAACUUAGUUAGGUGGGGUCCGAUUUUUCUAUAUGCUUUAUUGAACUCAACUUAAACUUAAUUAUAUCAUACAAGUUAAAAUAUUUUGUUUAGUUUUAACUAAGUUUAAAGCCUUUUAUAAAUUUGAGUUUUUUUUUAAUUCAGUCUCUGUGAUUUUAGUUAUUUAUUGAAUAUUUAAAAAAUAUUUUUUUCAAUUUAAUUUUUUAAUUCAUUAGGUGACGUGAUGGUUAAUUUUUCUGUCAACUUACCUUGUAUCCAC
rnacentral:lncRNA from 1 species